rnacentral:rRNA from 1 species
AACGAACGCUGGCGGCAUGCCUAACACAUGCAAGUCGAACGAGACCUUCGGGUCUAGUGGCGCACGGGUGCGUAACGCGUGGGAACCUGCCCUUAGGUUCGGAAUAACUCCCCGAAAGGGGUGCUAAUACCGGAUAAUGUCUUCGGACCAAAGAUUUAUCGCCUUUGGAUGGGCCCGCGUUGGAUUAGCUAGUUGGUAGGGUAAAAGCCUACCAAGGCGACGAUCCAUAGCUGGUCUGAGAGGAUGAUCAGCCACACUGGGACUGAGACACGGCCCAGACUCCUACGGGAGGCAGCAGUGGGGAAUAUUGGACAAUGGGCGAAAGCCUGAUCCAGCAAUGCCGCGUGAGUGAUGAAGGCCUUAGGGUUGUAAAGCUCUUUUACCCGGGAUGAUAAUGACAGUACCGGGAGAAUAAGCACCGGCUAACUCCG